rnacentral:rRNA from 1 species
UACGUAGGGUGCGAGCGUUGUCCGGAAUUAUUGGGCGUAAAGGGCUCGUAGGCGGUCUGUCACGUCGAAAGUGAAAACUCAGGGCUUAACCCUGAGCCUGCUUCCGAUACGGGCAGACUAGAGGUAUGCAGGGGAGAAUGGAAUUCCUGGUGUAGCGGUGAAAUGCGCAGAUAUCAGGAGGAACACCAGUGGCGAAGGCGGUUCUCUGGGCAUCACCUGACGCUGAGGAGCGAAAGUGUGGGGAGCGAACAGG